rnacentral:rRNA from 1 species
AUUGAACGCUGGCGGCAUGCCUUACACAUGCAAGUCGAACGGUAACGCGGGGCAACCUGGCGACGAGUGGCGAACGGGUGAGUAAUAUAUCGGAACGUGCCCAAUAGUGGGGGAUAGCCCGGCGAAAGCCGGAUUAAUACCGCAUACGACCUGAGGGUGAAAGCGGGGGAUCGCAAGACCUCGCGCUAUUGGAGCGGCCGAUAUCAGAUUAGGUAGUUGGUGGGGUAAAAGCCUAUCAAGCCUACGAUCUGUAGCUGGUCUGAGAGGACGACCAGCCACACUGGGACUGAGACACGGCCCAGACUCCUACGGGAGGCAGCAGUGGGGAAUUUUGGACAAUGGGCGCAAGCCUGAUCCAGCCAUGCCGCGUGCGGGAAGAAGGCCUGG